rnacentral:misc_RNA from 1 species
GAAAACGAAAGCAGAGUGCACGAGAUCUGUCGACAGCAAAUAUGAAUCCAAUUUUGGAGUUCUUUUCUACCCUGUUGUUGGUAAUAUAUUACUGGUUAGAGGCAAUAGUUUUAACUUUCAUACCAGCCAGUUUAAGAGGGAAAAGUGUUGCUGGAGAGACAGUGCUUGUCACCGGAGCAGUGGAAUAGGCAGGUUGUUGUCCAAAAGAUUCGCAGAGCUAGGGGCCAGACUUGUUUUGUGGGACAUAAAUCAGUCUGGUAAUGAAGAGACUGCCGAACAGGUCAAGGCCAUUGGAGCCACCGUCAGGACAUACACUGUAGACCUCAGCAGCCGGGAAGCAAUCUACAAGACAGCUCAGCAGGUGAAAAGAGAUGUCGGGGAAGUGGAUAUUCUCGUUAACAAUGCAGGUAUUGUCACUGGUAAGAAGUUCCUUGACUGCCCAGAUCACAUGAUUCAGAAAACCUUUGAAGUCAACACCAUAGCUCAUUUCUGGACUUGUAAAGCAUUCCUCCCUGGAAUGAUCGAACGAAACCAUGGCCAUGUCGUCAACAUUGCUAGCUCUGCUGGGCUGAUCGGUGUUAACGGACUGGCUGACUAUUGUGCCAGUAAGUUCGGUGCCGUUGGAUUUGAUGAAUCACUUCGAAUGGAACUUAGCAUGCAGGGCAAAAAUGGAGUCCAUACAACAGUUGUCUGCCCUUACUUUAUCUCAACGGGAAUGUUUGAGGGAGCAAAAACCAGAGAAAUAAAGGUUCCAUUUUUCAAGUUUCCUGCCAUUUUGCCCAUUCUGAAGCCAGAGGAAGUAUCCCACAGGAUCGUAGACGCAGUUCUGUGCAACCAGCACAUCAUCAUGAUUCCUAGGAUUAUCUAUAUAUUCGUGCUGCUAAAGGGGAUUUUCCCAGUCAAAGUAUCGGAACUUCUUUCGAGAGUCUUUGGUGCUUCUAAUUCAAUGGAUGAAUUCAAAGGACGAGCUGCAGCUAAAUUAGACUAAGUUGAAAAUGCUAAUCAAUUAGUAUGAACCUCUGACUAUGUGAUUAAAAGAAAAAUAGUAUUAGAUCCAAAGUUAGAACUACAGUGUAUUUUAUCGUGUGUGAAAUUGUUUGUUUCAAUUGAGGUUGUCAAAUUUGGUUUACUUUGUAUUUGUGAAUAUUGAUAAAUAACGUUUGCACACACGAAUCAUGUGCAACAUUAGUUGACAGUUAAUAGAAGUAUAUUUAUAAAAUAUUUAUUGAAAAAAAAAAAUGAGUUGUCAUUAUAUAAUGCAAUCAAAUUAUAUGCUGUUGAUUAUAUCUAUUUAGUUGUGUUGUUUUUUUGUAAAAAAAAAAAAUAUUGAAUGAAAAUCUAAUAAAAUGGUCGGAAAAAUUUG